AUGAGAGGGUGCCAAAGCUUCGUCCAUCGCUGCUCUACCAAGCUCAUGGUGUUCCUCUUCCUUCCUUGUGUCAGAUAAUCAACGUCCUCCUUCCUGCGAGUAAUGAUGUGAAUGUUCAGGUCCCUCUUCCCUUUCAUUUUUCUUAUCAUUUGUCACUGCUGAAGACUAUUGAAGCUCUGUCGAAGCUCUUCCUCUAUUGACAUUUAAGACUCUUCUUCCUUCUCUCCAUUUGUCUACUACUAAUCAACCAACUCUUGGCCUCUUCCUUCUGUUCUGUUCUAGAUCAAUCAUACUCUUGCUCCUUCACUGUUGUUGUGGCUGUAUAGUUACUUUCUCUUCCUUCCCUGUACAGACAUGAAAGCUUUGUUCCUCUCUAUUUGUGAGUUGAUGAUUUAUUUAAGGCAAGGAGAAAUUUAGUUGAGUUGAAAUUUUUUUAUGGAAAGCAUGAUGAUACUAGGUGUGGGUCUGAACUCUUAAGCUGAAUCAUUUUCAUUUAAAUUGGCUGAUGUGGAAGAGGAUGAUUGAAAUGAGAUUUGGAUAGAAGAGCCUACACUUAUGAUUUAAAUGUUAGUUCCCAUAAGACAUUUGAUGAAAUGUUCACUGAAGGGAGUUGGUUGAUUUU